rnacentral:rRNA from 1 species
AGUGAACGCUGGCGGUAGGCCUAACACAUGCAAGUCGAACGGCAGCACAGUAAGAGCUUGCUCUUACGGGUGGCGAGUGGCGGACGGGUGAGGAAUACAUCGGAAUCUACUUUUUCGUGGGGGAUAACGUAGGGAAACUUACGCUAAUACCGCAUACGACCUACGGGUGAAAGCAGGGGAUCUUCGGACCUUGCGCGAUUGAAUGAGCCGAUGUCGGAUUAGCUAGUUGGCGGGGUAAAGGCCCACCAAGGCGACGAUCCGUAGCUGGUCUGAGAGGAUGAUCAGCCACACUGGAACUGAGACACGGUCCAGACUCCUACGGGAGGCAGCAAUGGGGAAUAUUGGACAAUGGGCGCAAGCCUGAUCCAGCCAUACCGCGUGGGUGAAGAAGGCCUUCGGGUUGUAAAGCCCUUUUGUUGGGAAAGAAAAGCAGCAGGUUAAUACCCCGCUGUUCUGACGGUACCUAAAGAAUAAGCACCGGCUAACUUCGUG